rnacentral:rRNA from 1 species
CAGUAGCCGCGGUAAUACGAAGGGGGCUAGCGUUGCUCGGAAUUACUGGGCGUAAAGGGCGCGUAGGCGGACAGUUCAGUCGGGGGUGAAAGCCCGGGGCUCAACCUCGGAAUUGCCUUCGAUACUGGCUGUCUUGAGUAUGAGAGAGGUGGGUGGAACUCCGAGUGUAGAGGUGAAAUUCGUAGAUAUUCGGAAGAACACCAGUGGCGAAGGCGACACACUGGCUCAUUACUGACGCUGAGGCGCGAAAGCGUGGGGAGCAAACAGGAUUAGAUACCCCCGUAGUCCCUGUCUCUUAUAC